rnacentral:tRNA from 1 species
GAUUUUUGAAAAUACUUCUAACUUUAAUGAUGAGUUUAUUGCACAUCGAAUAGGAUUAAUUCCUUUUAUU